AUAUUUAAAGCCAUUGACUUUAGUGUAGUAUCUGUUCUUGUCAAUUUAUUAUUUGAUAUGUUCUUUCGAGAAGAUUGUUUUAUUAAACCAAUUUUUAAAACAGGGAGCUGGAGUAGGGACUUGCUUUUUCUGCUGCACACAUCAACCUUGUAUUGCAGUACCUUCAGAAACAGUGUCUUUAUU